CCAGGAAAGUCCCACUGAGAUGGAUCUUUCAGACUCUCUGGUCAAAGCUCUUAAGAAACACAGGUUGCUUCAGAAGUGUGUGGCGUUCGCGGGGGACAACUGCAACACCAUGUUUGGUGACGUUGGGCAAGAGGAGGAGGCGAGGGUCGUGUUCACCAGGCUGAAGAAAUCCCUCCAGAGAGAGACGUUGAUCGGGGUGCACUGCCCUGCCCACGUUUUGCACAACUGCAUCCACCACGGAGCAGACGCCCUCGAGGUGGACGUUGAGAACAUCAUCCUCAAGAUCUACCAGUACUUCCACAUCUACGCGGUGCGGACGGAGCCCCUGCAAGAAUACUGUGACUUUGUGGAGGUGGAAUACAAGCGGCUGCUCUCCCACGUCAGGACCCGCUGGCUCUCCUUGUUCCCAGGCAUCACGAAGCUGCUCCAGAUGCAUUCGGCCCUGAAGUCCUUCUUCUUGAGCCAGAGCAACCCGCCCGCCGUGCUCAAGAGCUUCUUUGAGCACGAGUUCGGGGAGCUCUACCUUUGGCACAUGCACUCGCUGAUGAACGCCUUCCAUUUGCACAUCGAGGAGAUGGAGCGGGAAAAUAACUCCCUGGUGGAGGUGAUGAAGACGCUGGACUCCGUGCACACCAUCCUGCUUGACCGUCGAGCCCAGAACUUCAUGUCCCUGACGGUGAAGGGGAUGCUUGCCGACAAGCGCAAGGAGGGCCUGGAGGCCGGAUGUGAUGCCUUCUCCGAGGCCGUGCGUCGCCUCUACAGUCACUGCAUCGACUACCUGGAGAUGUGGAUGGCGUCACUGCAAGAGUUUUCCUGCUUCGCCUGGAUGGCCCUGAGUGACACACCCAGCUGGAGUGACGUGGAAGCGUGUAUCACGUAUUUGAUUGAGAAAGGCGUCGAGAUUGAUGACAUCAGGUGUUUUGAUCAGUUCAACAACCUGAAAAAAUUUGUGGAAGCUUCCAGCGAUGAAGAGGAGUUCCAGCAUCUGCUUUCACAUCAAAAGUGGACCAAAUACUUCCUGAAGGCCAAAGCCAUCGAAUGGUAAUGGAUGGAUUCAUACAAUAUCCUAACUUCGAAAUCCAGGUGGCUGGAAAUGCAGCGCUGCUUCUGUUCCCAGAACAUGUCAUGUCCCAGGAUAGGUUCCUCCUCGUUUGGAACCGUGUGAUCCCACGAUAACUGCUGGAACCUCAGGCCCAGCAGGACAUACUACAGAAAAAGGCAGAAACGUUUUAUCCGGGAGGCGAAACGAGAGAAGGGCCUUUCAUCAACUUUGUCCCAUCUAGGAUCUGAGCCUUGGUAGCCAUCCAUAUGUAAAAGAAAACCCUUCCAGGUAGUCCUCGACCUACGACCACUAUUGAGCCCAGAAUUUCAGUUCUUGAGCGAGACAUUUGUUUAGUGGUUGCCCUCUCCCCUCUUUGGAAGAGCUUUAUUGUUCCCGCUCCUUAAGAAAGUUCAAAACAUCCUUAAAAAUCC